UCAAGAAAACUUUUCAUAAAACAAGCAGUAAGAAAAAUUCAAAAUAUAGAUAGCCUUAAAAAUAGUUUCGGCUUCCAGUGCUAACUGUAGCUAUUGGGUACUUGGCCCGUACCAUGGGGCGUCCCUGACAGUUAUGUUUACAGACACCACUGCCAACAAAAACGCAUAAGCUGAACCAAAGGCAGAAGUUAUUUUUUAAAAAAUGUUAUUAACCUUUUACACUAUUUAUCAUUUGAUUUUUUUUCUUCCCUGGAGAGUAAUAUUUGACAAGAUCAUUAUGUAAAAGUAGCAUAAUUUUCUUAAAAAUUGCAAGGCUAUGUGAAAUGAUUGAUUCUUACUAAAAAAAAAGUGGAUAGAAAAAAAUCAAUUUUAGGUGAAAAAUAUGAUAAUGUGUGAACAAACUCAUUUAAUUUAUAGUUGUUGAUAAUGUUCCACAGCAGGAUAAUUGGCCAUAGGGGAUGAUUCAUGUUAAAUAAUUUUAAAAUGCCCAUCCCCUUACAAUUUAAUUUUCUAAUUCAACCGUAAAUGAAGCAAACAUAACAGUGCCACAGAGUAUGAGGAAAAUAUCUGAGCUUUGGAAUAAAAUAGUUCUGAUUUCAAAUUUAGCUCUUCUGUUACUAGCCACUGAGCCAACGACUCGGAAUUCCAUUGUCUUCAUUUGGAUUAUGGGAAUUUACUGAGAGACCUCAGAGGAAUCACUUGUCUUACAGACUCUGCACAUUUUUCCUGGUAGAAAAGAAGCAGAACUUCAAGAUUUACAAAGAAUAGUGACUCCCUCAGUAAGGAAACAGCCAAGAAAAUUACUGCUCUCCCAGCUCAGAGAGAAACAUUAAUUAGGUUCAUAUGAUGUACAGCCUGGGGAAAUGGGAACGAAUCGAGGUAGCCCUGAGACGAUCCUGCCUGUGUACAUUGACAACUGGGCAGUCUCCACCAUGGAAAACUAUUCUGUAUGAGUGAUUGUGUGGUUCCCAGAAUUUUGUGCCCUGCACUGUUAAUUUCAUCAUUGAUUAAUCUUUUUUUGUUUAGUUGUUCUCAAUGAGGGAAAUGAUGCUUUGAUCACUGUUUUAAAAUCAUACCAAAUAUAGAUUGUAAUAUCUGUUCAAAAUUGUAUGUGUAUGUUUAACUGGGGACUAAAUAGCCUACAGAGAGGGGAAUAUGGCAAAGUGUUUUGAGACAGGUAUGAUAAAAUAUUAUGCUAUUAUUCUUGGAUCUUUUGAUGAAACACGUGGCUAUUACCACAUAGACUGCAGCUAUUAUGAAGACAUUCUUAAUGUGCUCAGCCCUAAGCACAAGGGUGGAACAAAUUCCCAACAAGAACUUCUACAAUUUGUGUCAGAUGAAAGAUACAGACAACCAAAACAAACGAGCAAAAAAAUCCUCUAUGAUCACAUUUGAAUUUUUUUCCAAAAUCACUUGUAAGAAGGGGAUGUUUCUCAGCUCUGCUCUGAUACUUGAGGAUCUGAGGAAGGUGGGAGACACUGAAUCUUAUCUGCCCUUUUGGAAAUACUCAGCUGCACUCUCCCAACCGAGAGUACUGGAAAAGAGCCAAAGUCACUAUGACAAUUUCUAGGCUUAUAGCAAAGCUAGUGGUUUACUACAUCAUAUAAGGGAAGGAAGCUCUUAAUUAUCCUUUCCUUUUCAUGAGCACAACUGGCCUUCUGGGUUUUAAAUGCAUGAAAAUGUACUAUAUCUCUUUAGUAAAACAAAACAAAACAAAAAACUACAGUGAGAUCAUCACUUUUAUGUAGCACUGUAACCCAGUCAUUUAAUGGUUCUCUAAACAGAGGAGAGUGAAUACAAGAAAACACUUUUGUUAGUGAAAGUGUGAAAUUUGAAACUGACAAAUUCUUUGCAAGUCUAUUUGGAAACUUAUACUGCAACAUAAAGUGAACACCCCAAAAUCUAUAACGUACACACAUCGCUAGGACUUUUCUUACAGAUACAGUCAUUCUAAUGUGCAAAACCAUAUUUAGAAUGAUACAGCUCUAAAUACUGUUUAUAAUGAUAAAGUUGCAAAUAAUUUAAUUAUGACAGUAAAAUGAUUAAACUAGGAGUUUAAACAGUAGAGCAUCAUACAGUCACUGACUAGAGGAAUAGCUUAGGCAACUUGGACUGCUGUAACAAAAGAAUUUAAACUGGAUCUCUUAAAGAACAGACAUUUAUUUAUCAAAUUCUGGAGGCUGGAAAGUCCAACAUUAAUGUGCCAGCGUGGUUGGAUGCUCCUGAGCGCCUCCUCUGGGCUUGCUGAUGGCUGCCUUCUCACUGUAUCUGUACAUGGUAGUGACAGGAAAUGCUGGAGUCUCCUCUUUUUAAAAAGAUUCUUCCAACUCUACAAGCUUUAAUUUUAUGACUUGAACAAUUAUUUCUAAGAUGGCAAUAUGUAAUCCAUUAACUAGUGAUUUCCUACUGCGCAUUUUUUUCUUCUGUAAAUCUGUAUAACUUGUACCCCUUCACUGUUUUUUUUUUCUUUUCUUUUCUCCUUAAAUAAAAAAAAAAAAAAAAGAUUCUAAUCCUGGCUGGAUAUUUAGCUCAGCGGCCUGCUGUCUACUUUGCAAGCACAAAGUUUUGAGUUCAACCCCUGGUACAAAAAAAGAGAGAGACUAAUUCUACCAUAGGUGCUCUGAAUCAGCCUCAGGAACUUUGUAUUUGCUACCAUUUCAGCCGGGAAUGAU